GAGGGGACAGCUCAGUGGUAAAGUGUGUGCCUGGCAUGCACGAGGUUCUGGGUUCAAUCUCCGGUAUCUUCA
rnacentral:tRNA from 1 species